rnacentral:lncRNA from 1 species
AAAGCCGAACCUCCUCCAAGUAAAACUCCCUACUCCUCCAGGUAUCCUCCGGUAUCCCAGUCAGCCUCCAAACACCUCUCGCCCAUGCACAGUGGAAUAGAACAUGAUCCACCGACUCGUCCACCCCACAGUCCGGGCAUAAGGGUGAAAGGCCCAUACCGCGUCUACACAGCUCUGAGCAUGUCGGCAAUCGCGCCCAGGCCACCUUCCAGAGGAAAAGAGCAACCCUCUGGUGUAGCCCAAACCUCCACACCCAACCACAAUCUAGCCCCGACUGUGAA